AGCGAACGCUGGCGGCAGGCCUAACACAUGCAAGUCGAACGGAUCCUUCGGGAUUAGUGGCGGACGGGUGAGUAACACGUGGGAACGUGCCCUUUGGUUCGGAACAACUCAGGGAAACUUGAGCUAAUACCGGAUGUGCCCUUCGGGGGAAAGAUUUAUCGCCAUUGGAGCGGCCCGCGUCUGAUUAGCUAGUUGGUGAGGUAAAGGCUCACCAAGGCGACGAUCAGUAGCUGGUCUGAGAGGAUGAUCAGCCACAUUGGGACUGAGACACGGCCCAAACUCCUACGGGAGGCAGCAGUGGGGAAUCUUGCGCAAUGGGCGAAAGCCUGACGCAGCCAUGCCGCGUGAAUGAUGAAGGUCUUAGGAUUGUAAAGUUCUUUCAGUGGGGAAGAUAAUGACGGUACCCACAGAAGAAGUCCCGGCUAACUUCGUGCCAGCAGCCGCCGUAAUAC
rnacentral:rRNA from 1 species